CGGCAGAGGAUUCUGCACUUCACAAAGCCACAGAACAAACCAGCCAAACGAGGGAAAAGUAUAUCUUUAAAGGGAUGCUUCUCAAGGCUGAUGCUCAUUAUCAACUCAAUAAUGGAGCUAGUCAUGGGAAGCUGGGGGAACAGCUUUUUGUGGAGGAUUUGAAUGGGAAGAAUGAAGUGAAGAGUAAGUACCCUCCUUCCUUGCCUCACUGGAACCGUCUGUGUUAUUAG
rnacentral:lncRNA from 1 species